rnacentral:rRNA from 1 species
AUUGAACGCUGGCGGCAUGCCUUACACAUGCAAGUCGAACGGCAGCACGGGAGCAAUCCUGGUGGCGAGUGGCGAACGGGUGAGUAAUAUAUCGGAACGUGCCCAGUCGUGGGGAUAACGUAGCGAAAGCUACGCUAAUACCGCAUACGAUCUAUGGAUGAAAGCGGGGGAUCGCAAGACCUCGCGCGAUUGGAGCGGCCGAUAUCAGAUUAGGUAGUUGGUGAGGUAAAGGCUCACCAAGCCGACGAUCUGUAGCUGGUCUGAGAGGACGACCAGCCACACUGGGACUGAGACACGGCCCAGACUCCUACGGGAGGCAGCAGUGGGAA